UUGGAACUUGCUCAUUGUUCUCAUUGGUCACCAAAGUAAUGCCCGACUUCUUAGGCACUACAUGGACGGGACUCACCCACUUACUAUCGGAAAUGGGAUAAAUGAUCCCAUUGUCUAAGCAUUUAAGAAUUUCUUUCUUAACUACCUCCAUCAUGGGAGGAUUCAACCUCCUUUGAGGUUCUCUCACGGGCUUUGCAUCUUCUACCAAAUGAAUCCUAUGUUGGACAAUCGCCGGGCUA
rnacentral:lncRNA from 1 species